CUGGAAAAGGCAGUGAUGUUUCCAAGCACAUAUCUGAUUUGUAUGUGUGGAUGGUAAUGGUGCUACUGAGUCUUUUCCAA